rnacentral:rRNA from 1 species
CAGUAGUCACGUAGUUGAUCAUGGCUCAGAACGAACGCUGGCGGCAGGCCUAAUACAUGCAAGUCGAGCGCUCUAGCAAUAGAGAGCGGCGCACGGGUGCGUAACGCGUGGGGAUCUGCCCAAAGGUUCGGAAUAACUCAGAGAAAUUUGAGCUAAUACCGGAUAAUGUCUUCGGACCAAAGAUUUAUUGCCUUUGGAUGAACCCGCGUAGGAUUAGCUUGUUGGUGGGGUAAAGGCCUACCAAGGCGACGAUCCUUAGCUGGUCUGAGAGGAUGAUCAGCCACACUGGGACUGAGACACGGCCCAGACUCCUACGGGAGGCAGCAGUGGGGAAUAUUGGACAAUGGGCGAAAGCCUGAUCCAGCAAUGCCGCGUGAGUGAUGAAGGCCUUAGGGUUGUAAAGCUCUUUUACCAGGGAUGAUAAUGACAGUACCUGGAGAAUAAGCUCCGGCUAACUCCGUG